rnacentral:tRNA from 1 species
GAGAAGAUGGCUGAGAGGUUUAAAGCGAUAGACUGUAAAUUUAUUUUCAAUUGAAAUCAUAGGUUCGAAUCCUAUUCUUCUCC